rnacentral:misc_RNA from 1 species
AUUUUGAUCAAACAAGAUGAUCGCGAAUUUCCAGAAGCAGCUCAAUUCUUCUAUUCCUCUGUAAGCACCAUCCAGAAACAAACAGAUCAUUCUCAUAGCCGAAGGAAUUACAUUUUCCUUCGCACGCCGAGAGGAAAGGAAAAGGAAAAAAGAGCAGAAAAGUAAAGGGAAAAAGGAUGUCGGUGUAUUAUCGUUGGAAGACCUUCGACGAAGACGAAGAUCGACCAGAGAAACCUCGCCGAUAUGGAGUCACCGAGAUGCGAGGUCCACAGUAUACUCUCUUGAGUCACAACAUGCUUCAGGAUAUUUUUGAGUCCAUGGGGCAAUUUGUUGAUGGGCUGAAGUUCUCUGGAGGUUCCCACAGUCUUAUGCCCAAGUCUUUUAUCAAAGAGGUGAUUGACAUGGCCCACCAACAUGAUGUAUAUGUCAGUACAGGUGACUGGGCUGAACACUUGCUUCAUAAAGGUCCAUCAGGUUUCAAAGAAUAUGUUGAGGAAUGUAAAAGCAUGGGGUUUGACACGAUCGAGCUCAAUGUGGGGUCACUUGGAGUUCCAGAAGAGACACUUUUGAGAUAUGUGCGCUUAAUUAAGAGU